rnacentral:lncRNA from 1 species
UCGUUGAACUAUGGGAAUUGACGGAUACGCGUGAACUACGCCGACUGAGAAUUUUGGUCCGAAUUCCAAAUGCCGUAAAGUGUUGCUCGCCCCAUUACAAACAUUUGACUGGACCGCAAGAUUAGUAAACAUUGAAAUCCUUAGAAACAUUAGCGGCACUAUUUUAAAUGUUUCCUGUUCAGAAGCUAACACGUACCUACUCUCGGAAAUACGAGCCUUCAUUCAUGUUUUUGAUGACACAAUAGCCCUUUCAGUAGAUCAUGACACAUAAUGGAAAGUAUCGCAAACUUACUUCCAUUUGUCAAAACUUGAAUCGGUCAAAGAUUUUAUCGGUGAAUUAGAGGAUUUUUUUAUGUUCUUGUUCUUGGGAUUUGUAGUUGACAGGAUCUUAGCCACAAAGAAUCUUGCUAGAAAUAAGAAGAUUCUUAAUGUGUUAUUGCUCGUAUUCGAACAUCUUUCGACCAACGAGAAGUGCAUGGACAAGUUUGCUAAGAUAGUUCCCGUCUUAUUGACCAUAAUCAAAGGAGAUGUAAAUUAGUAGAGGAGGAGUGUAACGUGUGUGGGGCAAAAAUGAGAGCCGAUCUUCUUCUGGCCACUCCUACGCAAUAUAUGAAACACUAACGUUUCUUAAUGCAAUAUAUGAAGUACUCCUCGGUAAAACAUGAUAAUAAAGAAUUAUAUAUAUAUAAAUUGCAAUGAUCAUAUGCCAUGAUUGGAAUUGAUCAAAUGCGAAAAUGUAUUGAAAUUUGAAAAACGAUCAUUACACAUAUCCUCAGCUCAACAUUUGAUACAAAAUUAAUACAAUGAAUCAAGUUUGGUCAUGUUGUUUUCUUCAUUUGACAGGCAACAAUAAUGGUAUUUAUCUCAUAAAUCUCCACAUGUCAUUAUUUGUGAAUUGAUCUAAAUUAUUGUCUCCACAAAUAGAGACAUAAUUAUGGAAUAAAUACUUUGCCACUAACAGUGUCGUAUUUAAUAGAUUUAAUACAUAAUUUUCUUUGGGGGCUGCUUUAAUAUUUGAGGGGAGGCCCACCCAGAAAAGCGUACCUCUUCUCCAUCGGGAGUUACAACAGUAAUGUUAUGCAGCGAGGAGGAGGAGGAGCCUUCCCCAUCGCCGAUGUGGAGCUCAACACACUUCUCAAUGUACUCUUCCGACUCCAUUGCAAAUACUUUUUCCUCGGAAACCCUAGCUCGCUCCUACAAUUAUUCAUCUUUUUCCCCCUUUUCCGAUAUUUUCCAGCUAGCUCAGCCUAGACACGGCCACGGGCCGGUUCGGGCCGGUUCAAGCCGGUUCACGGUUCACAUUUUCCGGAACCGGAACCGGCCCGUAGUAUGGGCGGUUCAGCGGGCCGGGUCGGCCUGCCGGUUCGGACCGGUUCCGGGUCGGCCCGGAAAUUUUGAAUUUUUUUUUUUUUUGAAAUAUAUGAAUAAGUAAAUUAAAAGAAGUACUUUUAAAUAGAAAAAGAAAAAAAUAAAUAAAUUAAAAGACUUGAACUCAAUUUUAAAUUCAAAAUUUUAAAGAUUUCGAAUUUAUAGGAAUAAUGGGGGGAAAAAAAUUCAAAAAAAAAGUAAAUAACGGCCGGUUCACCGGGCCGGUUCACUAGCCGUUAUUUGCUUUUUUUUUGAAUUUUUUUGAUAUAUUUUUUUUUUAAUAUCCGGGUGAACCGCCGGGCCGGCCUAGUGGUUCACGGUUCACCAUUUCUAAGAAUCGGGCCCGUCCCGGGGAGGACAGGCCGGUUCACGGGUCCGGGCCGGUUCACUUGGUCAACGGGCCGGUUUGGGCCAUCACACGUUACACUCCUCCUCUACUAAUGUUUCUAGAAAAAAAUGGUUGUCGUUGAACUACGGGAAUUGACGGAUACGCGUGAACUACGCCGAUUGAGAAUUUUGGUCCGAAUUCCAAAUGCCAUAAAGUUGUUGCUCGCCCCAUUACAAACAUUUGACUGGACCGCAAGAUUAGUAAACAUUGACAUCCUUAGAAACAUUAGCGGCACUAUUUUAAAUGUUUCCUGUUCAGAAGCUAACACGUACCUACUCUCGGAAAUACGAGCCUUGAUUCAAGUUUUUGAUGACACAAUAGCCCUUUCAGUAGAUCAUGACACAGAAUGGAAAGUAUCGCAAACUUACUUUCAUUUUUCAAAACUUGAAUCGGUCAAAGAUUUUAUUGGUGAAUUAGAGGAUUUUUUUCUGUUCUUGUUCUUGGGAUUUGUAGUUGACAGGAUCUUAGCCACAAAGAAUCUUGCUAGAAAUAAGAAGAUUCUUAAUGUGUUAUUGCUCGUAUUCGAACAUCUUUCGACCAACGAGAAGUGCAUGGACAAGUUUGCUAAGAUAGUUCCCGUCUUAUUGACCAUAAUCAAAGGAGAUGUAAAUU